rnacentral:rRNA from 1 species
CAGCAGCCGCGGUAAUACAGAGGGUGCAAGCGUUAAUCGGAUUUACUGAGCGUAAAGGGCGCGUAGGUGGUUAUUUAAGUGAGAUGUGAAAGCCCCGGGCUUAACCUGGGAACUGCAUCUUAUACUGGGUAACUGGAGUGCAGUAGAGGGUAGUGGAAUUUCCGGUGUAGCGGUGAAAUGCGUAGAUAUCGGAAGGAACACCAGUGGCGAAGGCGGCUACCUGGACUGAGACUGACACUGAGGCGCGAGAGCGUGGGGAGCAAACAGGAUUAGAUACCCCCGUAGUCCCUGUCUCUUAUAC